UACGUAGGGCGCAAGCGUUAUCCGGAAUUAUUGGGCGUAAAGAGCUCGUAGGUGGUUUGUCGCGUUGUUCGUGAAAACUCACAGCUUAACUGUGGGCGUGCGGGCGAUACGGGCAGACUAGAGUACUGCAGGGGAGACUGGAAUUCCUGGUGUAGCGGUGGAAUGCGCAGAUAUCAGGAGGAACACCGGUGGCGAAGGCGGGUCUCUGGGGCAGUAACUGACGCUGGAGGAGCGAAAAGCCGUGGGGAGCGAAACAGG
rnacentral:rRNA from 1 species